rnacentral:SRP_RNA from 1 species
CCGCGCUAAAUGGGGAGGUAGCGGUGCCCUGUAGCCUGCAACCCGCUAUAGCAGGAUUGAAUUCCGUGUUGCGGCCGGUUUUCGUGACUCCGGCCGGAUUAAGUAGCGUUGAGGAUUGGGUCCCGCGCAACAGAAACUUAUAAACCCCGUCAGGUCCGGAAGGAAGCAGCGGUAAGUAAGAACUUUUGUGUGCCGUGGGGUUGCCUGGUCGGAGCCGGCUGGUCCGGUACGUUCGGGAAGAUUAGGUCAAGGCAAGGUGCGCGG